UACGUAGGGCGCAAGCGUUGUCCGGAAUUAUUGGGCGUAAAGAGCUCGUAGGCGGCUUGUCACGUCGGAUGUGAAAGCCCGGGGCUUAACUCCGGGUCUGCAUUCGAUACGGGCUGGCUAGAGUGUGGUAGGGGAGAUCGGAAUUCCUGGUGUAGCGGUGAAAUGCGCAGAUAUCAGGAGGAACACCGGUGGCGAAGGCAGAUCUCUGGGCCAUUACUGACGCUGAGGAGCGAAAGCGUGGGGAGCGAACAGG
rnacentral:rRNA from 1 species